CUGUUAGUUUUGACAUGCCUUCUGCUCUCAGAAUUGAAGCCCUUUGUUGUUUGCAGAAUAUCAGAGGAGACUUGCUAGCAUUAGAGACAAAUCUUUCAGAAUAUCUGUCUUUCUGUUUUAGAACCAUAGCCCUUUCCUAAUGUGCAUCUUCUCAUAAGGUGAGGUUCUGAGGUUUACAAGCUAGAUCCAUGCUCAGACUACAUCCGUGUGAUAACAGACAACUGUUGCAUGAAUGAGAACGUACUACUAAACCAGGAGAGAAACAGACCAAAAGAAUAACUAAAAACAACAGCAUUCGUAGAGAGCGGCCAAACUUUCAUCAUGAUUCAGACAGACCUGUGGAGAUUCAGUCUGAUGAUUCCCAGAGAAACAUUCCCAGAUGAGUUAUGACAACAACUCCAGGAUGAGUCUCAAAGAACCAAAUAAUCCUGGAUCAUGUCAAAUCAUCAACAAUAAAUCCAGCUAACAGAGUAAUCUACACAUGAAGAACAGACCCAGCGUUCAUCAAACUAACAGUUUCUCAGAUCCGUUUCUUUACACUGAACUUUUACUGACAACAUUAGGUACAUCACAGUUUCCUGCAUCUGAUAGUGAACAUUUAUAUAAGACAUGAAAUUACAACACAGAUGACAGGUCCAUCAAAAAACAUACAUUCAUAUAAUUCACACACUGAAAUCAGUGAUGAACUGCCUUUAACUGAGUGUUUUAUCCUUUUGCAUUAUCAACGCACUAUUUUCCUGUUUGAUACUGUAAAGCUGCUUGGACUCAAUGUGUAAUGUUAAAAUAAACAGCUGAACAACACUAGAAACAGAGCUCUAUAUGAACUCAAUCACUGCUCAACAAACACUUUUAUGGUUUCAUGAAAUCACCUUUAUUUUUAUUUAUAAUGCUUUAAACAAAAUACAUUGCAUCAAAGCAACUGAACAACAUUCAUUUGGAAAACAGUGUCUCAAUAAUGCAAAAUGAUAGUUAAAGGCAGUUCAUCAUUGAAUUCAGUGAUGUCAUCUCUGUUCAGUUUAAAUAGUGUCUGUGCAUUUAUUUGCAAUCAAGUCAAUGAUAUCGCUGUAGAUGAAGUGACCCCAACUAAGCAAGCCAGAGGCGACAGCGGCAAGGAACCGAAACUCCAUCGGUGACAGAAUGGAGAAAGAAACCUUGGGAGAAACCAGGCUCAGUUGGGGGUCAGUUCUCCUCUGACCAGACGAAACCAGUAGUUCAAUUCCAGGCUGCAGCAAAGUCAGAUUGUGCAGAAGAAUCAUCUGUUUCCUGUGGUCUUGUCCUGGUGCUCCUCUGAAAUGAUCAGGAUUUAUUAAAAUUGAGUAUAUAGACUGAAUAACUGUGAGACUGAAGCACUGCUGAAGCUUCAUCAUGUUCAGGAUCAGGAAGCAGACUUACACCAGACUAAAUCAAGCAUUUCUCAAAUAAACAAAUGAACACAAUAAACAGACUCAUUGUUCCUCUUUGUCAUGAUAUGUUUAGUUAAGUUUCUGUCUUGUCUUAUGAGCUCUCAUUAGUUUUCCACGGUUUCUUAUUAGUUAAUCCGUGUCCAGCUGUUCCUCCUUAGUUUUCUCAUUUACCAUGUGUGUACUUAUAGUCCUGUUUCUGUUCUAUCAUUUAUCGGUUAUCAGUUGUGAUAUGAUCUGUAUCUAGUCACUAGACUCAGUAAAGUAUAUUUGAAUUAGAUGUCUUCUUCUGCUGUUCUCAUUCCCAGUCAGCGUGUUACACUCUUCCUGCAGUCAGAUCACCUGCUGCUUCCGAAAACUUAGACAGGUGACUUGCUGCUUGCUGUCUAAUCAGUCAAUGACUUUGCAGGCAGCGUUUUUACCCGAAGGCACCUCAUGAAACGGAUUUCGGACAGUCUUCUGAGGCAGUGUAAUGGUUUAAUGAUCAACAGCAAAAUAUAGAGAGCUUUGAUGAUAACUAGGAGGAUAUUUCAUUACUGCAAUAUUGAUUUCUCGCUAGAAAUCACAUAAAAAGUGGAAAACGUUGAUCAGAAACAUACAUAUAUCUACAACAGGGUCCGAAUUCUGCCAAAAAUACCAAGCCAAGGGCCACUGACCUAUAUAUAUAUAUAUAGAUAUUAUUAUUAUUAUUAUUAUUAUUACAAUUAUUAUAUUAUUGUUGCUUUUGUUAAGAUAAUCAAAAGAUGGUCUCAAGACAAAUAUUCAGAUUUUGUUUUAUUCAAAUAAUUGUGAAUUUUUUUGCUUUAAGAUACAGAAGAACUUUGCCUGUUGAAUAUUAAAAAUAAAUGAACAUGCAAACCAA